rnacentral:lncRNA from 1 species
CGUGUAAUUACUUUCAUCAGACAAUACAAAUAUAUUUCUGAUGCAUUUUUUAGACGGCAAAAUAAUUGUACUUUUGUUCCAUCAGUCUUAUUUAAAAUCAAAUGCCUAAAAAGUAAUACAUGAUUCGCUUGUGGACUUUGUAAUAGUGUAUCGUUACAGUUAUCUGUUUAGCUAUUAAAUUUUUAAAGAUUAUUUACACCGUCCGCCGUUGACCAAUUGAUGAUAACAUAAAUCAAGCUUGUCUCUUUUAAAAUAACAAAAAAUGGAUAAAGACAGCUUUGCGUAGGGGGAUAAUUCAUGUGAUAUAAUUUUGGUAAGUUUACAGAAAUAGAAGGUCCAUAAAGCAUUAAUCGAGUACGUAAAAAUGGAGCAAUUUCAGAAAACUUUAAUGAUUGGUUUAGGAGGUGAUGGGAAUACCUGAUGGGUGCCCCCACAUAAUGCAAUGUUCAAGUCCGUAUCUUAUAUAAAGUAACCCCAUAAAAGAUUUUUACUAAAAUUCGAAGUAGACGGUGCACAAUACAGUCAUUAUCAUUUAUGAUAAGGAAACCGAAUAAGAUUAAUAAAUAGUUACAUCAGUGACGGAUUCAAAAAAAGGGGAUCCGGCAGUUUGAAACCCUUUUUUAACUAUCAAUGCAUUUGUAUGGGAACAUAUAUUUGGAAUCC